GCUAUGCAUCAGAAAUGGAGAACCCUGAUUUAAUUCACUUGAUCCCAGCUGGAGUUUUGAACAAGAAAGAAAUUCUUUUUGGAAACCUCUCAGAAAUCUAUGAAUUUCACAACAGAAUCUUCCUCAAAGAGCUGGAAAACUGCAUAGAAAAACCUGAGCUUUUGGGUCGGUGCUUUUUAAAAAGG